GGAGCUGCAGCAGGCAGCUGUGGUGACUUAGGGGGCCAUGGCAUUCAUUGUCGCCCUGGGCUGGAGUGCCCAGGAGGUGGGACACUGUAGGGUGAGGGGUACGGCCAGCAGCAGUCUGGCAUUCUCCCAAGGUGCUGCAAUAACCCCGGGCUGUGGGGACAUCAGUGCAGCUGCAGGUCUCCACUGUCCUCCAUGGCCUCUCCCUUUCCGUCACACAGCUCAGAGAGCUGGUUGUUCACGCGCUUGGCGCUGCAUGACCUCAUCGUGCUCUCGUGACAACACCUUUUUACCCUAAAACCCAGAAUACAUGCAUAAUGAAAGCAUUACGGGAUGUAAGAGCUGUGCACGCCAGGGCUGCUGGUGCCAGGAGAAAACUGGACAAGGUGACAUGCCUCUCUGAUUCACCUUGAUUCAGGGAAUGUACUAAGUGUGGCAAAGCACAGGAUUGUUUAAAAAGAAAAAGAAAGAAAAAAAAAAAAGGCCGUCAGGUAUUCUAAUGGAAUUUCUAACCGUGGAGUUGGAGGACAAACCAGACAAAGCUUUAUAAAAGGAACCAAAAGGCCAAAAUUCAGGGUUUUGGAACAUCUGAAUCAGUAAUCAUUGUUUAGGCCUUUAGAAGGUAAGUUGAAAAAUGUCUGUUGACAGUGGCACUGCCUGGUAUUUUUAACAAUGAAAAUCUGUUUAUAACAUGAGAGUUGAAUGUCUGAUGCAAAACAGUUUUGUAUUGUUUGUCCAGUUUCUUGUGGAGAAGUGUCUGUCGUAUGCAGAGUCAAAUGUAUUGGUGUGUUGGCUUUAAAUAGGUCUGUUAUACAAUGUAAGUAGCAAAGAAAAAUCUGGGUGAAGGCAAAUGACCAUUAUUACAAUGAGGUUCUGAAUUCAUGAGCCAGCCCCUCAAGAUCACAGAAUCCAGGUAAUUGAGCAGCAAAUGGAUUUCUGGAGGUGUCCUUCAAGGAUGUGUUGACUCUUGUAUAAAAAAACAUGCAGAGAUCC